AUUGAACGCUGGCGGCAGGCCUAACACAUGCAAGUCGAACGAGUGGCGGACGGGUGAGUAAUGUCUGGGAAACUGCCCGAUGGAGGGGGAUAACUACUGGAAACGGUAGCUAAUACCGCCUACGAUCGGAUGAGCCCAGAUGGGAUUAGCUAGUAGGUGGGGUAAAGGCUCACCUAGGCGAAUAACCCUAGCUGGUCUGAGAGGAUGACAGGCCACCCUGGAACUGAGCCACGGUCAAGCUUCCUACGUGAGGCAGCAGUGGGGAAUAUUGCACAAUGGGCGCAAGCCUGAUGCAGCCAUGCCGCGUGUAUGAAGAAGGCCUUCGGGUUGUAAAGUACUUUCAGCGGUGAGGCGUUACCCGCAGAAGAAGCACCGGCUAACUCCGUGCCAGCAGCCGCGGUAAUAC
rnacentral:rRNA from 1 species